CGGGAGAUGCGGCCAUGUUCGUGCUGAGUCGACUCUCUGCGCGCGAGUGUUGAGAUUAUUCCGCCUUUCCUGCUGUCUGUCACACGUGUUAAAGUCAAGGCCCGGGGGCCGGAUCCGGCCCUCCAGGAGAUCCAGCUUUCAACACUCUGGAGUUGAAAUGUGGUGGGCGGAGUGCCACAUACGAGGCGUACACAAAACAGGGUACUUUGAUUUACUGAGAUGCACCAACACAGUUCUCAUUGCACUCUGCCUGUUCUGUGGAAAGAACUACUGAGGGGAAAAAAUGUUCUAUUUUAUGUGAUCUGUAGCUGUACAACAAAAUGUUUAAAACGAAGCUGUUCAGUAUUAAAGUAAGGUCACGAUGGAACAAUACAAAUUGAAGAACUUUUGUUUGAAGUUUGGAUGUAGGUUGGGAUACAAAAUGACAGAACAUGGGGUAAAAAACAAAAAUAUAUGUUUCUCUUAAAGAGACCCAGUUAAAACAAGGCCUGAGGCUCCCUUCAAGAAGAAAAUAUUCAGACUUAGAAUCAUUGACAUAAAUGGAGACGGACAAAACAAGACUAUGAUGUCACAGAUAGAAAAUGCCUCACGUGUGUUCAAAUGAAAUUAAGGUAAUUCAGUCGCCAUUUUUACUGCUUACGUAUAUAUAUAUUUAUAUCGUAAUUACAACUUCCCUCCUAUUUUUCUAGAAUUUAUUUUUUAUUUAAAUGUAAUGUGUUUUUAUAUUUUGUCGAUCUCAGGUAUUUGAAAAUUUUUCUCUCGCUGACGGUGCUUUUUCUUCACAAUUGUUUAUGAACAGAACAUGUUUUAUGAAUAAAUACUUAAUUAAAUGUGUUUGAGCUUCAUCUAUGAUUUAAAAAUCCCCUAAUAAAAAUCAAUAGUGGCCGUCU